CCUACGGGCGGCAGCAGUGGGGAAUAUUGCACAAUGGGCGCAAGCCUGAUGCAGCCAUGCCGCGUGUGUGAAGAAGGCCUUCGGGUUGUAAAGCACUUUCAGCGGGGAGGAAGGCGGUGAGGUUAAUAACCUCAUCGAUUGACGUUACCCGCAGAAGAAGCACCGGCUAACUCCGUGCCAGCAGCCGCGGUAAUACAGAGGGUGCAAGCGUUAAUCGGAAUUAGUGGGCGUAAAGCGCACGCAGGCGGUCUGUCAAGUCGGAUGUGAAAUCCCGGGCUCAACCUGGGAACUGCAUUCGAAACUGGCAGGCUAGAAUCUUGUAGAGGGGGGUAGAAUUCCAGGUGUAGCGGUGAAAUGCGUAGAGAUCUGGAGGAAUACCGGUGGCGAAGGCGGCCCCCUGGACAAAGACUGACGCUCAGGUGCGAAAGCGUGGGGAGCAAACAGGAUUAGAUACCCGUGUAGUC
rnacentral:rRNA from 1 species